rnacentral:rRNA from 1 species
UACUCUACAAAGAACAUGUAGACCACAAGAAAUGUAUAAUCACACAACAUCGUCUAAAUCACUGUUUAAUUUCAGUAGGACCUCGUAACUAUAUUAAUGUAAACGAGUAAAAAACAAUACACAAAACAAAUCUCCUUAACGAAGACAUGAACUGUCUAAUCCUCGACCACAAUCCAAAGUGACCUAGUUAAAAAUCGAGAACAAAGAACUCCAGACGUCUCCAAUCUCCUCAUUAAUCAGAAGAUACAAAGAGAUUACUCACACACAGACCUACGUAUGUAUAUCAUCUCCUCGUUAAUGGUAGACCUACACGUAUUUAAUAAGAAGCAAUAAAACGCUCAUGUACACCUACACGUAUUUCACAAGAGAGAAAAAAAUUGCUCAUAUACACUAUGUAUCUUUUACAUAUACCACCAAAGGUAAGACCUAAUAGACCGACCAUGUACCUCGAAUAAAUUAAAAGGUGAUAAUACCGUAAUAGACAUGACGAACUGUAUAGUACGGGGGAAUGAAGGAAGCACUGGAGGGUGAUGAAGUAGAUGACUUUACUAAUCCGCUUAGAGCAAAAAAGAUCGUAAUUUGGACGUUUCUUUGCUUUAGAAGAGGCCUCGUUAAUCAUAAGAGACAAAAGGAUUGUUCACAUACACUUGAGUAAGUCUGUCAUCUCCUUAUCAAUGGUAAGAGAAACACAAAAUCGUUCAUAUACACCUACGUGUAGUUCACAAGAGACAAAAAUUACCCAAUAUACAACUACGUAUCUUUUACAUCAUGUACCUCGGAUAAAUCAAACAGACUUGUUAUUAUGAAUAAGUGUCUAAAACAAUCGAACGAAGUUUUAAAUAAUUAGGUCAAUACCACACCAACGGAUAAUGAGUUCUACUAAAGUAUAAUCGAAGUCUCCUGUACAUACAACGCAUAGGAAAACGGAUGACUCGUGUGUGUUUCUUUACAAAGAUAGCUAUAGUAAUUGACUUUGUAUAAGGUAAAAACUAGUUAACCACCUAGACUGAUUAUAUCUAUAUAACAUUCUCUAUAAUAAGUGCACGGUAAAAGAAUAAAGCUCAUUCGAACUUUGACUACCAGAGUCAACCAAACACGUAACUGAAAGAAGCCUUGGACCUAGAUCUCUUUGAUUCAUCUCCCAGCGGAAAACACGUCCUUAAACGUCGUCCAGACUAGGGAACGCGCACGAGGAGGCGAACAGGAGUGGGAGAGCUGGGAGGGGAACGAGUAGCGGUAGGUAAAAUAAGUCUCACAUCUACCGCCCGUUUUGUGGAUUCGAGGUCUCGUUCCUACUUUCGUGAGGUAUGUGUGGGCGUUCCUACUACUAGGUAGACAAAGAUCCUACCACCCUGAACUCCGUACGUGGUCUUAGUUCCUAGUCGAUGAACUACUUUUAUAUGUCCUCUGAGAGGAUGAGUUGUACUGCAAUUUUUUUCUUAGUUCCUAGUCAAGUUACCCUUAACCUUACUACUUUUGUGAACAAACUCGUGUACACUAGGAGUAUUAUCGUAUAAACAUUAUUUAGUA